AUGGAUGAGGAAAACACACCGGAGGCCUUUGGAACAUUAGUAGAGGACUUCUUCAGUGUAAAAAUACCCACUGAAACGCAUUUCACUGAGCACCUGCUGGCAGAGAGACUUCAAGUAUAUAAAUACUUCAAGUUGGAACAGCUCCUUCAAGAACUAAAACCAACUCUAAAAGACAGACAUGGAGAUGGUGAGAGAUUUUGAGAGCGAUUUUUAAAAGAAAACAUUCUUAGCCUUGUAAACAUCUGAUACAGUGGUACAAUUUUUGGUCUUUUGUGCACAGGACAAGGGCAAACUGGCCUAAAAACACAAGUCCCAGUGAGUGAAAGCACUUUUUGCAUGUUGUGUUUUAUUUAUUCUGAAGAGUGUACAUCUAUGGAAAUAUCUACUGUUUUUUAUCCACCUGUGAUUCAGGUGCCUCUGAUGGAAAGAGAAAUAAACCGACUUGAUGAAGUUUACCAGCAGCUCUCCUCUCAACUCCACAGGGCAACACACAUACGCAGCCCACCGGAGAAGAAAGAGCCCAGGUUUGACAAACCGCUUCAGGAGCAGCAGGUGAUGCUGGAGCUGCAGAAGUGUACGGUGGAUCAGAGACUGAAGGAGAUGAGAGACAGAUUUUCUAAACUGAGCUCAAGCCAGCGAGCGAGUCCUAAUGAAGACAGACUGGCUCACAGCACAGUCCUGGCUCAGGAAGACAACCAGACUCCCAGCAAACGCAAACCAGACAGCGGAGGAGCAGAGAAACAGACACCUGCUGCAGGACAGUCCAGCAACAAGAAGAUGCAGAGCAAGCAUGUGGACAAAGAUGAGGAAAAGGGUGUGACUGCGUGAGGAAUAAUGUUUGAAAAUGGUGAUUAUUCUAAAAAUAAUGUCUUGUCUUUAUACUGUGUUUUACUCCUACAGAUCUUACAAGUUACAAUCAUUUUAUCCAUUCAUAAUGACUGCGAAACUUGUGUGGCACAGUCACAGACAGUCAGAAGAUAUUUAAUGUUUAAACUACAGUUAUAAUGAGCAGGGCAAGACGAAAUAGAAACAGAAACCAAAAUGUCCUUUCAGUUGUCACUUGUAGAUGUCAUUGCCGUUUAAGACAAAACUCACAUGGAGGAGAUGGAUUUAACAUUUAACACCCCUGGUUUAGAAGCAGUGUUAUGCUUAGCAACUUAGCAAAUGUAGUCACAACCUUAAAACUGUGAAUCUUUAUGGUUUGUUUUUAAUUUUCAUCAAUGUAUGCAUAUAUUUACACUACUGUUCAAACAUGUAGGGUUGGUAAGAUUUUUUAAAAAUGAUUUUGAAAGAAGUCUCUAAAGGAUGUAUUUAUUUGAUCAAAAAAUAUGGUAAAAAACAUUAAUAAUGUAAAAUAUUAUUACAAUUUAAAAUACCGUUUUCUAUUUGAAUAUAUUUUAAAAUGUAAUUCCAGUCUUCAGUGUCACACAAUCUCUCAGAAAUCAUUCUAAUAUCAAGAGACAUUUCUUAUAAUCAGUGUGGAAAACAGUUGUGCUGCUUAUUAUUUUUGUGGAAACCGAGAUACAUUUUUGUUCAGGAUUCUUAAACGAACAUACAAUUCAAGAGAACAGCAUUUCUUUGAAAUAGAAGUCUUUUGAAUUGUCACUUUUGAUCAGUUUAAUGCAUCAUUGCUGAAUGAAAGUAUUAAUUUCUUUAAAAAAAUAAAAAAUAAAAAAUCUUACUAACCUAAACA
ensembl:lncRNA